CGGUAAUACGUAGGUGGCAAGCGUUGUCCGGAAUUAUUGGGCGUAAAGCGCGCGCAGGCGGUCUCUUAAGUCUGAUGUGAAAGCCCCCGGCUCAACCGGGGAGGGUCAUUGGAAACUGGGAGACUUGAGGACAGAAGAGGAGAGUGGAAUUCCAAGUGUAGCGGUGAAAUGCGUAGAUAUUUGGAGGAACACCAGUGGCGAAGGCGGCUCUCUGGUCUGUUACUGACGCUGAGGCGCGAAAGCGUGGGGAGCAAACAGGAUUAGAUACCCGAG
rnacentral:rRNA from 1 species